AACGAACGCUGGCGGCGGGCCUAACACAUGCAAGUCGAGCGCUCACCUUCGGGUGGGAGCGGCGCACGGGUGAGUAACACGUGGGAACCUACCUUGAAGUACGGAAUAACUGAGGGAAACUUCAGCUAAUACCGUAUACGCCCUACGGGGGAAAGAUUUAUCGCUUCAGGACGGGCUCGCGUUGGAUUAGCUGGUUGGUGAGGUAAUGGCUAACCAAGGCAACGAUCCAUAGCUGAUUUGAGAGAAUGACCAGCCACACUGGGACUGAGACACGGCCCAGACUCCUACGGGAGGCAGCAGUGGGGAAUAUUGGACAAUGGGCGCAAGCCUGAUCCAGCCAUGCCGCGUGAGUGAUUAAGGCCUUCGGGUUGUAAAGCUCUUUCAGAUGGGACGAUGAUGACGGUACCAUCAGAAGAAGCCCCGGCUAACUUCGUGCCAGCAGCCGCCGUAAAAC
rnacentral:rRNA from 1 species